rnacentral:rRNA from 1 species
GACGUAGGGCGCGAGCGUUGUCCGGAUUUAUUGGGCGUAAAGAGCUCGUAGGCGGCUCGUUGCGUCGGCUGUGAAAACCCGCAGCUCAACUGUGGGCUUGCAGCUGAUACUGCGGUGACUGGAGUCUGGUAGGGGAACACGGAAUUCCUGGUGUAGCGGUGAAAUGCGCAGAUAUCAGGAGGAACACCGAUGGCGGAGGCAGUGUUCUGGGCCAGUACUGACGCUGAGGAGCGAAAGCGUGGGGAGCGAACAGG